rnacentral:tRNA from 1 species
AAAUCCCCCCAAGCCGUAGCUUCUAACUUCGGCACAGUAUUCUUUACUGGGAUUUU